UGUGGUCGUGGCUGAAACGGUUGCGGCUGUGGCUACUCUGGUGGAGCUGAAGCCAUUCUAAAAAGUGUUUUGCAAAACAGUUUCUCCUGUGUCUUUAGGAAUGGUUGUGAUAAAUCAAAUGUCAUAUAUACCCUUGACUAUAUAGAUUGUUUGAAUAGAUGAAUGGAAUACUUAACAUUUGUUUAUAAAUUUAAGUUCAUUAGAAAUUUUAAAAAAAAGAAUUAUUGUUUAAGCAAUAAUAAAAAGAUUAUUUUUCCUCUUUAUCUUUUCUUCUUCCUUAAUCCGGUCCACAUCCUUCCAUUCCUCUCUUUUUUUUCUCUUUGUUGUUUCUGUUUCUCCACGCC
rnacentral:lncRNA from 1 species